rnacentral:rRNA from 1 species
CUACGGGCUGCUCCAGUGAGGAAUAUUGCACAAUGGGGGGAACCCUGAUGCAGCAACGCCGCGUGGAGGAUGACGCAUUUCGGUGUGUAAACUCCUUUUAUAUGUCAAGAAAAUGACGGUAGCAUAUGGAUAAGCACCGGCUAACUCCGUGCCAGCAGCCGCGGUAAUACGGAGGGUGCAAGCGUUACUCGGAAUCACUGGGCGGAAAGGACGCGUAGGCGGGUUGGAAAGUCAGGUGUGAAAUCCUACAGCUUAACUGUAGAACUGCACUUGAAACUUCUAAUCUAGAGUAUGGGAGGGGGAGAUGGAAUUAGUGGUGUAGGGGUAAAAUCCGUAGAUAUCACUAGGAAUACCUAAAGCGAAGGCGAUCUCCUGGAACAUUACUGACGCUAAGGCGUGAAAGCGUGGGGAGCAAACAGGAUUAGAUACCCCAGUAGUC